AUCUGGUACCUUCGGUGCCCGAGUUGUAAUUUGGAGAGGGCAACUUUGGGGCCGUUCCUUGUCUAUGUUCCUUGGAACAGGACGUCAUAGAGGGUGAGAAUCCCGUGUGGCGAGGAGUGCGGUUCUUUGUAAAGUGCCUUCGAAGAGUCGAGUUGUUUGGGAAUGCAGCUCUAAGUGGGUGGUAAAUUCCAUCUAAAGCUAAAUAUUGGCGAGAGACCGAUAGCGAACAAGUACAGUGAUGGAAAGAUGAAAAGAACUUUGAAAAGAGAGUGAAAAAGUACGUGAAAUUGUUGAAAGGGAAGGGCAUUUGAUCAGACAUGGUGUUUUGUGCCCUCUGCUCCUUGUGGGUAGGGGAAUCUCGCAUUUCACUGGGCCAGCAUCAGUUUUGGUGGCAGGAUAAAUCCAUAGGAAUGUAGCUUGCCUCGGUAAGUAUUAUAGCCUGUGGGAAUACUGCCAGCUGGGACUGAGGACUGCGACGUAAGUCAAGGAUGCUGGCAUAAUGGUUAUAUGCCGCCCGCUUG
rnacentral:rRNA from 1 species